UUAAGCAUAUCAAUAAGCGGAGGAAAAGAAACCAACAGGGAUUGCCCCAGUAACGGCGAGUGAAGCGGCAACAGCUCAAAUUUGAAAUCUGGCGCAAGCCCGAGUUGUAAUUUGUAGAGGAUGCUUCUAGGUAGCGACCGGUCUAAGUUCCUUGGAACAGGACGUCACAGAGGGUGAGAAUCCCGUACGUGACCGGCCCGCACCUUCCACGUAGCUCCUUCGAAGAGUCGAGUUGUUUGGGAAUGCAGCUCUAAAUGGGAGGUAAAUUUCUUCUAAAGCUAAAUACCGGCCAGAGACCGAUAGCGCACAAGUAGAGUGAUCGAAAGAUGAAAAGCACUUUGGAAAGAGAGUUAAACAGCACGUGAAAUUGUUGAAAGGGAAGCGCUUGCAACCAGACUUUGGGGCGGUGUUCCGCCGGUCUUCUGACCGGUCUACUCGCCGUCCCGAGGCCAACAUCAUCUGGGACCGCCGGAUAAGACCUCGGGAAUGUAGCUCCCCUCGGGGAGUGUUAUAGCCCGUGGUGAUGCGGCGCGUCUCGGGUGAGGUCCGCGCUUCGGCAAGGAUGUUGGCGUAAUGGUUGCCAGCGGCCCGUCUUGAAACACGGACCAAGGAGUCUAACAUCUAUGCGAGUGUUCGGGUGUCAAACCCCUACGCGUAAUGAAAGUGAACGGAGGUGGGAAGGGCAACCUGCACCAUCGACCGAUCCUGAUGUCCUCGGAUGGAUUUGAGUAAGAGCAUGGCUGUUGGGACCCGAAAGAUGGUGAACUAUGCCUGAAUAGGGUGAAGCCAGAGGAAACUCUGGUGGAGGCUCGCAGCGGUUCUGACGUGCAAAUCGAUCGUCAAAUUUGGGUAUAGGGGCGAAAGACUAAUCGAACCAU
rnacentral:rRNA from 1 species